rnacentral:rRNA from 1 species
UACGUAGGGUGCAAGCGUUGUCCGGAAUUAUUGGGCGUAAAGGGCUCGUAGGCGGUCCAUCACGUCGGGAGUGAAAAGCUGGGGCUUAACCCCAGUCCUGCUUCCGAUACGGGCAGGCUGGAGGCAGGCAGGGGAGAACGGAAUUCCCGGUGUGAGCGGUGAAAUGCGCAGAUAUCGGGAGGAACACCGGUGGCGAAGGCGGUUCUCUGGGCCUGUACUGACGCUGAGGAGCGAAAGCGUGGGGAGCGAACAGG